AUAGACUUGGUAACUGAAUCUGAGCUCGAAGUGUUAACAAAGAGAAUCAAGCAUAUCAAUGGGAUGGCACAAAUAAAGAAAGCAAAGCAUGGUGUGGUUGAUAUGGACUUUGUUUUGGGAGUUGGUGGCUACGAUCUUGACAGAGUUGAUUCUGAAGUUCAAUCAGAGGGUUCCCACUGUGGGCACAAACAUGAAGAUGAACAUGAACAUCACAAGGGCCACCAUCAUGAUCAUGUACAUGAUUCUGCUGUAUCCAGUGUUAGUAUUGUGUCAGAGGGAACCUUAGAUUUAGAUGAGGUUGAUGAUUGGCUUGAA
rnacentral:misc_RNA from 1 species